rnacentral:rRNA from 1 species
UACAGAGGGUGCGAGCGUUAAUCGGAAUUACUGGGCGUAAAGCGCGCGUAGGCGGCUUUGCAAGUCGGGUGUGAAAUCCCCAGGCUUAACCUGGGAACUGCAUUCGAGACUGCAUUGCUAGAGUAUGGGAGAGGGAAGUGGAAUUUCCGGUGUAGCGGUGAAAUGCGUAGAUAUCGAGAGGAACACCUGCGGCGAAGGCGGGUUGCUGGGCUGACACUGACGCUGAAGCGCGAAAGCUAGGGGAGCAAACAGG